GUAACGUAGCUAACGCGUGAAGUUGACCGCCUGGGGAGUACGGCCGCAAGGUUAAAACUCAAAGGAAUUGACGGGGACCCGCACAAGCGGUGGAUGAUGUGGAUUAAUUCGAUGCAACGCGAAAAACCUUACCUACCCUUGACAUGUUAGGAAUCUCUCAGAGAUGAGAGAGUGCUUGAAAGAGAAUCUAAACACAGGUGCUGCAUGGCUGUCGUCAGCUCGUGUCGUGAGAUGUUGGGUUAAGUCCCGCAACGAGCGCAACCCUUGUCAUUAGUUGCUACGAAAGGGCACUCUAAUGAGACUGCCGGUGACAAACCGGAGGAAGGUGGGGAUGACGUCAAGUCCUCAUGGCCCUUAUGGGUAGGGCUUCACACGUCAUACAAUGGUUGGUACAGAGGGCCGCUAACCCGCGAGGGGGAGCUAAUCCCUUAAAACCAAUCGUAGUCCGGAUUGAAGUCUGCAACUCGACUUCAUGAAGUCGGAAUCGCUAGUAAUCGCGGAUCAGAAUGCCGCGGUGAAUACGUUCCCGGGUCUUGUACACACCGCCCGUCACACCAUGGGAGCGGGUUUUACCAGAAGUAGCUAGCUUAACCGCAAGGAAAGCGGUUACCACGGUAGGAUUCGUGACUGGGGUGAAGUCGUAACAAGGUAACC
rnacentral:rRNA from 1 species